rnacentral:rRNA from 1 species
CUUGCCCUUUAGACUGGGAUAACAGAGGGAAACUUCUGAUAAUACUGGAUAAGUUAGUAUAUCGCAUGAUAUGCAAAAUGAAAGCUACGGCACUAAAGGAGAGCUUUGCGUCCUAUUAGCUAGUUGGUAAGGUAAGAGCUUACCAAGGCGAUGAUAGGUAGCCGGCCUGAGAGGGUGGACGGCCACAAGGGGACUGAGAUACGGCCCUUACUCCUACGGGAGGCAGCAGGC